CCCCACGAUACAUAUAUCUUUUACGUACUGAUACAGUACUACUAACACCGUCUUUGGGAUUCUCGCUCCUCUCAGUCAUUCCAAGAGCCACAUCAAUCAGUUCUUCGAUUGGCUUUUGUUCCCUCAAGACCCGGUUGCUUUCGUCCUUGUUUCGCCUUUCGACACACAUGAGUCACAUGAGUUUCUGCUGGGGUGUGCAGCUCACUCCAGUCACAGAAAACGCCCUACUUGCAAACAGUACAACACUCCACUUCCUGUCUUGGACAAGAAAUACCUGGCAAUCCUGUUCGGAUUUUGCAGAUUGCGACCAUUAUUCCAUAAUCGCAAUUCACUUCACUUAAUACCGGCCCAAUUAUCAGCCCUACGAAAAUCUAUUUGAAUUUUGGCGAGCUUUUAAGAUCUGAAGAUAAAUGCCCUAUAUCGACUCCCCUCUCCCAGAAUUCCAAGGACAAGGUUAUCAGGAAGAUCCUCAGCACAAAAAUUAUCGUACGGAGCAAAAAGGACUACAGAUCAAGACAGUAAUGGCAUUAUCACCUCUUCUCGCGAUGUUGUCGAUCUUCUACCCCUAAACAACUUCCUUGGGCGACCGCAUCUGUCCAUGCAUUGUGCUAUCACGAUCUUGCACUCUUUCAUGGGUGUCUGAUUAGUUCCCAACACAUCACCGAGAGAAGAGGAAAACAAGGUGAUCGGUCGACUCCUGAUGAGAGGUAUCCUUUUCUUUGAUAUGUCUCAGUGUAAGGUGGUCAGAAGGGGGGUGGAGUAAUUAUAGGAUUCCCAAUAUGCAACACCUCCCGUAUAUGCCUCUCUUCGCCUCAUCUCCCCACGCUCACGCAUAUCUACGACAAUAGCCUAGUUACAAACCUGGUACCAACCCAUCCCACCCUGUUUCUCCCAGAAGUUGAAUUACUACAAUUCCUCCUAGAGACAAUUUGGAAGCUUUGCCCACCCUCGCAUCCAUCGCUCGACUCCAGUCAAAUGUCCUUCCUAGAAGCGACCAUCGCUGGCUUCGGGAACACUUGGUGACUGCAUCGAGGCAAGGUCACCGAAGACUUCUUCCCAACGGAGGAACGACCAAGUAGAGGAGACCAAGGAAAAGACAAGUGCCACACUGCAGUUGCUAUGUUGGUUUUUGUCCGGCGAGAUGCCAGGCCAGGGAGAAAAAGAAAGAGAAGAGAAGGAAGAAGAGGCCGAGGAGCACUUUGGGGUGAAAAGCAUUGUUUCUGGCACAUCCUCUCCAGAAGUUGACUCAUGAUAUGUGUCAAGAAUAGGUUUCUACGUUGCACGAGGAAUGAAAGAAGGAACAGAGCAUUUACUAUAUAUUCCUUUCCGUGCCUCGGGACCUUAAACCUCGCUAAACCUCUUCACCAAUCCUUCCCAGUUGGAUCACUCUCCGUUACAUCCCAACAGUGUGGGGGAGGAUGGCCUUCUUUCCGUCUUGUGACGCCAAAUGUGGCACUAAUUGUCGCUGGGAGCCCUUUGGACAGUCCUCUGGGAUCACUUGGACUUGCCGUUGUUGGCGGUCGUACGUGGUUUGGGCUCAUCUUGAGUAACUAUAUACAAAGUGUGAUCAGUUAAAGUCAAAGAAGUAGAUUGGGCCCAUAUACGAACUGGGACGGAAGCAAAGUCUUGGUGAUAGAAGGUUUAGGUGAGAAGGACUAUAUGUUUGUCGUGGAUUGAGUAGAAAGGAAAGAGGAAAGGCAAAAUUUUGUAACCAUAAUAACCUGUUGCAACCUCAAGUCGGUUGCGUACUACUUUGCAUCCAAAGAAGAAGAAAGGGGAAAAGCGAGCUAUAUAUAGGAAGAACGAAGGAAGGUCUGUGCGAGAAGUGGCAAUACCGAAUGUGGCGGUUGAGUCGACGACGCUAUGAACUUGCCCAUAAUAUCGAUCACUGCGUUAAUUCAAAGGACCGUUGAUCGUGCACGGAUAUUGGUCCACUCAAACAACGAACAUAAUAGGUCUAAGUCCAACAAAGUACACUGCACUUGUUUGUACAAGGAACGAGGGUAGAGUGGAGGCCGCAGCACAAGGAUGAAAAGAAUUGGAGUUACGGGACCGAGUUUGUCACGAUGUUAUGCAUUAUGAGUCGUAAUCCCCGA
rnacentral:sRNA from 1 species